UACGUAGGGUGCGAGCGUUGUCCGGAAUUACUGGGCGUAAAGAGCUCGUAGGUGGUUUGUCGCGUCUGCUGUGAAAACCUAAGGCUCAACCUUGGGCUUGCAGUGGGUACGGGCAGACUAGAGUGCGGUAGGGGUGACUGGAAUUCCUGGUGUAGCGGUGGAAUGCGCAGAUAUCAGGAGGAACACCGAUGGCGAAGGCAGGUCACUGGGCCGCAACUGACGCUGAGACGCGAAAGCGUGGGGAGCGAACAGG
rnacentral:rRNA from 1 species